rnacentral:misc_RNA from 1 species
GUAUAAGGUUUAUAGGCACUGGGGCCCAAUUAUACAUUCUGUUACAUACUAGGUGUAUAUGAAAAAACGUAGGCUUGGAAGUGCAAAGAAAGCCGACGCAGAGAGCGCAGCAUUCCUCCCGACCGAGCUGCCUCGGAAAGUCUAUCCAGGUCUACAAGAGGUGCACAGGUGGAGAUGAGGAUGGCGGGUGUGCACGUGCCCCCGAGAGGGCCAGCAACAACCACACCAAGUUCAUUCAAUAAUGAUCCUUCCGCAGGUUCACCUACGGAAA